GUUGACGUACCCUCUUUCCAACACUGAUCUCAGCUGUGGAGGUGCGUGCGUGUGUUGUGUAUUCCAACAGAGGGAGCCUUUAGAUAAGAGAGCCCCACAAUUACCAAUUUCCCCACCAACACACCAGCACAUAAGCCAGUAUGCGUACACAGCUAUGUACAUUUGUAUGUGACUAAAUCCAUCUGUAAAGUUCCUGGAAUGGAAGGGGCUGAUGAAAUCUAAUGUAUGCUGAUGUCAGCAACUUAACUCUUGAUGUAACCACUUAAAAUAGUAAACGUUAUUAACUUUUUAGGUACAAACUUUAAAGUUAUAAGAUAAUAUAUACAAUUAUACAAAUAAUUGUCAUGCAAUUCUUAUACUAACAAUACUGUGUAUAUACAUACAUACAUUCAUAUAUACAAAUGUACCCCAUGCAUAGAUAUGAAAAAAACAUAAAUUAUGCGAAGUCAUGAAAAGUGACUCAUAAUUUUCACAGAAAAACACCCCUUGAAUAUAACACAAAAACCCUUACGAAAA